CCUACGGGUGGCAGCAGUGGGGAAUAUUGCACAAUGGGCGCAAGCCUGAUGCAGCCAUGCCGCGUGUAUGAAGAAGGCCUUCGGGUUGUAAAGUACUUUCAGCGGGGAGGAAGGCGAUAAGGUUAAUAACCUUGUCGAUUGACGUUACCCGCAGAAGAAGCACCGGCUAACUCCGUGCCAGCAGCCGCGGUAAUACGGAGGGUGCAAGCGUUAAUCGGAAUUACUGGGCGUAAAGCGCACGCAGGCGGUCUGUCAAGUCGGAUGUGAAAUCCCCGGGCUCAACCUGGGAACUGCAUUUGAAACUGGCAAGCUAGAGUCUCGUAGAGGGGGGUAGAAUUCCAGGUGUAGCGGUGAAAUGCGUAGAGAUCUGGAGGAAUACCGGUGGCGAAGGCGGCCCCCUGGACGAAGACUGACGCUCAGGUGCGAAAGCGUGGGGAGCAAACAGGAUUAGAUACCCUUGUAGUC
rnacentral:rRNA from 1 species